rnacentral:rRNA from 1 species
GACGAACGCUGGCGGCGUGCUUAACACAUGCAAGUCGAACGGAAGGGCCUCUUUCGGGGGGUACUCGAGUGGCGAACGGGUGAGUAACACUUGAGUAACCUGCCCUUGACUUUGGGAUAACUUCAGGAAACUGGGGCUAAUACCGGAUAGGAGCUCCUGCUUCAUGGUGGGGGUUGGAAAGUUUCGGCGGUUGGGGAUGGACUCGCGGCUUAUCAGCUUGUUGGUGGGGUAGUGGCUUACCAAGGCUUUGACGGGUAGCCGGCCUGGGAGGGUGACCGGCCACAUUGGGACUGGGUGGCGGCCGAGACCCAUACGGGAGGCAGGAGGGGGGAAUAUUGCACAAUGGGUGGAAGCUGGAUGCAGCAACGCCGUGUGCGGGAGGACGGCCUUCGGGUUGUAAACCGUGUUGGCGCAUGACGAAGCUUUGUGUGACGGUAGUGGGUAAAGAAGCACCGGCUAACUACGUG